GAUUUCUGGUACGAUAUGCCUGGCCCGUCCUCGUCAGAGGCUCGAGUGCUGGUGUGUGUCUGCCAUCUUUCUAGAGAGCGGCACUUCCCUUCAUUGGAGAGGUGUCCGUCAUCUAGAUCUUUUACUUUGAAAAAAUUAGAGUGUUUCAAGCAGGCUUUAUGCUAUGAAUACAUUAGCAUGGAAUAAUAAUUUAGGACUUCGGUUCUAUUUUGUUGGUUUCUAGGACUGAAGUAAUGAUUGAUAGGGAUAGUUGGGGGUGCUAGUAUUCAGCGGCCAGAGGUGAAAUUCUCGGAUUCGCUGAAGACUAACUUAUGCGAAAGCAUU
rnacentral:rRNA from 1 species